CUUGGGGCAGGUAGCCCCUCCCACCACUCGUGCUGCCAUGGUUACACUCUAGUGCAAGUAUGUCUCCUCAAACUGGGAAUCACACCCCCAGCUUGACGUGUAGACAUAGCCAGAGUCUCCCUUCAGGGAUAACUGCACUACCCCGUUGCCAUCAGUACAGUUGCACAGCAGUCAGCAGAUCUGGGUCUGGAUAAGUAAAUACGGCCUGCCCCCACUCCCAGGGAAUUCAGUGGCAAAACUCCUCUUGGUCUGGAGCAGGAGGAGGGCCAUGGAGAAGAACUGUCGAGUAAGAAGCAUUUUUGCACAGAGUCACUUUGAAGAGAAGACCUCACCUCGCAGACAGGCAUGCCUAACACUGUAUGCCUAUUUGCAUGCUGAACCACAAGCAAAAGAAGAUAUUGUGAAAUCUACAAGAAGAAAAUCUGCAGGAUUAAAUAAAUAGCAGUGCAAAGGGGAUGCUGUUUAUGAAUAAAGACAAAGACUUGAUCUA